UACGUAGGGUGCAAGCGUUGUCCGGAAUUAUUGGGCGUAAAGAGCUCGUAGGCGGUUUGUCGCGUCGAAUGUGAAAACCCGGGGCUCAACUCCGGGCCUGCAUUCGAUACGGGCAGACUAGAGUUCGGUAGGGGAGACUGGAAUUCCUGGUGUAGCGGUGAAAUGCGCAGAUAUCAGGAGGAACACCGGUGGCGAAGGCGGGUCUCUGGGCCGAUACUGACGUGAGGAGCGAAAGCGUGGGGAGCGAACAGG
rnacentral:rRNA from 1 species